rnacentral:rRNA from 1 species
ACGACUACAUAUCAGGCAUAUCAAUAAGCGGAGGAAAAGAAACUAACUAGGAUUCCCCUAGUAACGGCGAGUGAAGCGGGAAGAGCUCAAAUUUGAAAUCUUAAAGGGUUUCCCUUGACGAAUUGUAGUUCAAAGAAGUGUUUUCUGUUGGAGUUUCGGUAAAAGUUCUUUGGAAUAGGACAUCAUAGAGGGUGAGAAUCCCGUAUUUGACCAUUUACUUUCCAGCUGUGUGAUACACUUUCAAAGAGUCGGAUUGUUUGGGAAUGCAGUCCAAAAUGGGUGGUAAAUUUCAUCUAAAGCUAAAUAUUGGCGAGAGACCGAUAGCGAACAAGUACCGUGAGGGAAAGAUGAAAAGAACUUUGAAAAGAGAGUUAAACAGUACGUGAAAUUGUCAAAAGGGAAGCGUUUGACACCAGUGUUGUUUAGUUGAAAAUCAAUUCAAUAAUUUUUGAUUCUUAAGUAGUAUUGACUUCAUCAGCUUGCUGCUUUCUUCUCAGGAAAUUAUUUAAUGCACUUUUCAGUUAACAAGUCAACAUCAAUUUCUUUUGUUGUAAAAGGGUAAGAGGAAGGUGGCUUACCUUUCGGGCUCAAGUGUUUAUAGCCUUUUAUCUCUGCAAUCGGAGAGAUUGAGGUCAUGCAGCGUAGGACUCCUUCGGGGUUAGAUACACUUGUGCUAAGCUAUAGCCUUGUAUAGACAACUUGUUGACUAUGCUCAGUCAUGUAGCUUACUCGCUGUAUGCUAUUUUACCUACGCUUAGGAUGUUGAUCUCUCACAGUCGAGC